rnacentral:misc_RNA from 1 species
UCUCCCGUGAGGGAGCUGUCUCGCCUGACACUUGUAACAGGCAACGAGGGUUGCGUUCGUUUCCCCACUUAAGGGAACAACUCAAGCCACGAACUGACGACGGCCAUGCAUCACCUGUCAUACACCCUCGAAGGCUUCCCCGGUUUCCCGGGGCGUGCAGUAUGAUUUCUAACCCUGGUGAGGUUCUUCGUUUAACAUCGAAUUAAGCCACAUAAUCCACCGCUUGUGCGAGCCCCCGUCUAUUCCUUUGAGUUUUAAUCUUGCGAUCGUACUACCCAGGCGGUCUGCUUAACGCGUUAGCUUCGCCUCGGAGAGGGUCGAUACUCCCCAAAGCCAGCAGACAUAGUUUAGGGCGUGGACUAC